AUCAUUUAUAAUGAGCAUCACCAUUGGCUUGCUCUCAGCACAUAUGGUUGUAAAUAUGGAGAAAUUUAUGUACUUGACAGUAACUUUCAAGGAAAUUUAUCAAUAGAUACUCAGAAUCAAAUAUGUUCUCUUUUAAAAUAUAAUGAAGCUAUGAUCAAAGUAAAUGUUUUACCAGUGCAGCAGCAAGAAGGAUAUGUAGAUUGUGGUUUGUUUUCGCUGGCUUUUGUUGAAUUUAUUUUAUCAAACAACAAAAACCCUGUUGAACAUAUUUGGUUUGACCAAAAACAAUUUAGAAGUCAUGUUCUCUAGUGCUUGAAGGAAAAUGUAAUGAGAUCUUUUCCACUUUCAAAUUGUGCAAGUCGUCGAUGCCAUUCAAAAGAGUUUAUAUUGAAAAUCUUCUGUUCUUGCAGGAUGAUUUUGACACCACAGUAUCAAGUUAUUUACGGAAAACACAUGAUCAAAUGCAAAAGUUGCUUAAUGUUAUAUCAUAGAAAGUGCGAAAGUGUUCCAGACUCUAUUUUGAGCAAUAAUAAGAUGUGGUCUUGCUCUAGCUGUAGAACAAAAUGAAUCCUAAUCUAUAAACAAAGUAACAAGAUGUUGUGAUCAAUGCUGAAGAGUUGUUAAGCUACUUUUUAAAAACGGUUAUUUUCAUAGCCACAUAUUAUUAAAAACAUGUUAGCAUAUGAAAUUUUAUUCUACAUUUGUGAAAUUUUUUAUACUCCGAAAAUUAGGAAUUUUUUACUCCUCAUAUCCUAUCACUAUUACUCUGCACAUUUUAUGCGAAUAAAAAUACGUUAUUUUUCAAAUGUUUUGUACCAGUAGAAAGAGCAUUAAAAAAGCCUUUGAAAACAUAUAAAAAACAUAUGUUGAAAUUUUUACUUCAUAAGAUAUAGGGCAUUAUGUACUUUACCUAAUCGGGGGUCAAUUGAUGAAAUUACCACUAGAUAACCAUUUUUUAUAAAUAACGUAGAAUUAAUAUAAUUGAGCUGGUACAUAUAUUAAAAUUCGCAUUGUAUAAAGAUACAAACAUUUUAAUUUGUAAACCAAAAUGAUAUUUACAGUUUGCAAUAUUUAAUCUAAAAAAGAAAGGAUCUUCUGAAAAUAAUUAAUUGACGGUGAUAAGUCAACUAACGUUGUAGAUUAAACCGGAAUUAAUGGCAUUUAUUAUCGAAAAAAAGAACCAACGAAGUUGUAAAAGAGUAUAAACAUCUUCUGUCCUUUUUUGAUCAUCGUAGACUCUAACAACGAAACCUUUCAUAUUAUUUAUUGUAAAUAUAUCAGGUGAAGCUUCCAAUGUACCAAAAUAUGAUAUUGCAGCUAGGGUUCCAUCGUCAGCUUUGAUAAAUUCUUUCCACCGAAGCAAUGAAAACUCGAUUCGGGCAUACUUUUGCUUUGGAUGCGCAAAUUUGUAAAUUACAAAUAAUUUUUGAAACUUUUUUUUAUCAUGUUCACUUUUUAAUCAUGUUCCAACAAGGCUUCAAGCAACCUCUAAUUUAGUUGGGAAUUGACGCAAAAAAAUAUAUAUAAAGCAGC